rnacentral:rRNA from 1 species
UACGAAGGGGGCUAGCGUUGUUCGGAAUCACUGGGCGUAAAGCGCACGCAGGCGGAUUGAUAAGUCAGGGGUGAAAUCCCGGAGCUCAACUUCGGAAUUGCCUUUGAUACUGUCUGUCUUGAGUACUUAAGAGGAUCGCGGAAUUCCCGGUGUAGAGGUGAAAUUCGUAGAUAUCGGGAGGAACACCAGUGGCGAAGGCGGCGAUCUGGGAAGAUACUGACGCUGAGGUGCGAAAGCGUGGGGAGCAAACAGG